rnacentral:lncRNA from 1 species
UUUUGUCAAACUCACUUUAUUUUUCACUUCAUUAUUUUUUCCACUCUUUUCUUUUAAAAGCUCACUCUUGGAUGUCUCACAUUCGCUCACUCUUUUUCCUUCACUCUUGUUUUCUCUCUCACUUUGUAUUCUUCUAAGCUCACCCUCAUAAACUUCUUUUGGUGAAAGUGGUACAAGAGUAAUUUUCUUUCCGUCUUUCUCAAAAGUGUAGUGAUUUGUGAAACCGUUAUGUUCCUUCGAUCAAAUUACCAAGGGCAUCCGAACAAAAGAUGACCAGCAUGCAUAGGCACUACAUCGAAUAACAAUUCAUCCUUAUACUUGCCUAUUU